UACGUAGGGGGCAAGCGUUGUCCGGAUUUAUUGGGCGUAAAGAGCGUGUAGGCGGCCAGAUAGGUCCGUUGUGAAAACUCGAGGCUCAACCUCGAGACGCCGAUGGAAACCAUUUGGCUAGAGUCCGGAAGAGGAGAGUGGAAUUCCUGGUGUAGCGGUGAAAUGCGCAGAUAUCAGGAAGAACACCCGUGGCUAAGGCGGGUCUCUGGGCCGAUACUGACGCUGAGGAGCGAAAGCGUGGGGAGCGAACAGG
rnacentral:rRNA from 1 species